UGCUCACUCUCUUUCUCUUCCUCCACAGGCAACGGCUGGGACACAAAGGCACAGUUAAUUCGGCUUGGUUUUGCUCUCACCUCUUCGCUGAUUGCAGCUCACAGUAAGUACUGGUUCACACAGUUCGUUCCUUGGGUGCUCACUCGCUUUCUCUUUCUCCACAGGCAGCGGCGUAAGUACAGGUUUCCUCGGUCUCUCCUCGUGUUACCCACUCUCUCUCCUUUUCUCUCCACAGGUAUCAACUUGGGCACAAUAGCACAGUUAGUUUGCUUUGAAUGGCUCUCACCUCUGGGCUGAACACAGCGUACUGUAAGUACAGGUUUCCUCGGUCUCUCCUCGUGUUACCCACUCUCUCUCCUUUUCUCUCCACAGG
ensembl:lncRNA